ACGAACGCUGGCGGCGUGCUUAACACAUGCCAGUCGAACGGAAAGGCCCUGCUUGCAGGGUACUCGAGUGGCGAACGGGUGAGUAACACGUGGGUAAUCUGCCCUGCACUUCGGGAUAAGCCUGGGAAACUGGGUCUAAUACCGGAUAGGAGCCAUCUUUAGUGUGAUGGUUGGAAAGUUUUUCGGUGUAGGAUGAGCUCGCGGCCUAUCAGCUUGUUGGUGGGGUAAUGGCCUACCAAGGCGGCGACGGGUAGCCGGCCUGAGAGGGUGGACGGCCACAUUGGGACUGAGAUACGGCCCAGACGCCUACGGGAGGCAGCAGUGGGGAAUAUUGCACAAUGGGCGCAAGCCUGAUGCAGCGACGCCGCGUGGGGGAUGACGGCCUUCGGGUUGUAAACUCCUUUCGCUAGGGACGAAGCUUUUUGUGACGGUACCUAGAUAAGAAGCACCGGCUAACUACGUG
rnacentral:rRNA from 1 species